rnacentral:rRNA from 1 species
UACGGAGGGGGCUAGCGUUGUUCGGAAUUACUGGGCGUAAAGCGCACGUAGGCGGCUACUCAAGUCAGGGGUGAAAGCCCGGGGCUCAACCCCGGAACUGCCCUUGAAACUAGGUGGCUAGAAUCUUGGAGAGGUCAGUGGAAUUCCGAGUGUAGAGGUGAAAUUCGUAGAUAUUCGGAAGAACACCAGUGGCGAAGGCGACUGACUGGACAGGCAUUGACGCUGAGGUGCGAAAGCGUGGGGAGCAAACAGG